CAUGCAAGUCGAACGGAAAGGCCCUUUCGGGGGUGCUCGAGUGGCGAACGGGUGAGUAACACGUGGGUGAUCUGCCCUGCACUUCGGGAUAAGCCUGGGAAACUGGGUCUAAUACCGGAUAGGACCGCACAUUUCAUGGUGUGUGGUGGAAAGCUUUUGCGGUGUGGGAUGGGCCCGCGGCCUAUCAGCUUGUUGGUGGGGUAAUGGCCUACCAAGGCGACGACGGGUAGCCGGCCUGAGAGGGUGUCCGGCCACACUGGGACUGAGAUACGGCCCAGACUCCUACGGGAGGCAGCAGUGGGGAAUAUUGCACAAUGGGCGCAAGCCUGAUGCAGCGACGCCGCGUGAGGGAUGACGGCCUUCGGGUUGUAAACCUCUUUCAGCAUCGACGAAGCGCAAGUGACGGUAGAUGCAGAAGAAGCACCGGCCAACUACGUGCCAGCAGCCGCGGUAAUACGUAGGGUGCGAGCGUUGUCCGGAAUUACUGGGCGUAAAGAGCUCGUAGGUGGUUUGUCGCGUUGUUCGUGAAAACUCAC
rnacentral:rRNA from 1 species